AGUUUUUUACUUUUUUUAAUGACAGCAUACGUUAAAAUUAAUAUUCCGAGGCACAAUUUUUUUCUGAGAGUUUCAAUGUAUGCAAAUCGAAUUUUAAAUGAGUUAUAAAUAGGUUAUAUUUAAAGUUUUGACGAGCACAGAGUAUACCUAUAAAGGACCGACAUUUUGCAGGUACCACAAAUCACUAUACCUAAAUACAUGCUCAUAAAGAUAAAAAUAAAAUGUUGUAUUGUCAUGACUUCUAAUUAUCUCAAAUAAAAGAUAUUUCUAAAAACGUUAACAAUAACUUUUCGAGAAUAUUAGUGUUCGUUGUGUUUACUUUUAAAAGAGUCACCCUGUAUCUAUAGUACCUACCUAUAAGGCUAUAACACAUAUACACACAAUAUCACUCGCACACAAAAACGGAUUAGGCGAGGUUAUUAUUUACACAGCGUUUGAAUAAACGUUUUUAUUUUUUACAAUAGUAUAUAUAUAUAGAUAUUAUGACACAUUAUGCAAAGUAUUAUUUGGUGUCAUUCGAGGCACUUUUUAGUUUUUAUUUCCAUAUAGUGUUACUUUACUGUCCACUAGGUUUUAUAUUUUUUUUUUUGUAAAAAUAAAAUAAUUUAAGUAGACGACUUCCAUUCUAUGAACUUUGAGUUUGAUGACAAAUAAACAUACGAGAAAUACAUUAUACUGACAAUAAUAAUUAUGAAUCCAUGUUCAAUCCAUAUACAGUGUCCUUGAAGUUCUGGCUAUUAUGGCGUCUUUAAUUUUCGAACCAAAAAUGGGCAUAAUAAGUUGCAAUCAAUAAAUUAUAAAUGUAUAUAUUAUAUAUUAUAUGUGUAUAACACUGAAUUAUAUGUUUCACUUUGUUCUUUGACUUUGUAAUAUUGUCUACUGCUGAAAAUGACUUUAAAGUUUAAUUUGUAAAAUAAAAUAAUGUUUAGCAGGUAAGAAAAAAAUCCGAUAUAAAUAUAUAUCCGAAUACAUUUAUGCCCAAACCCAUAUAAUAUCUUAAAUUUUAAUAUAUAGGUAGUUUAUUUUUCAUGGGUCAACUAUAUAUUAACCAUAUAAUAUGUAAAUAUAUUCACAUUACAAAGGAAUUUAAUUGAAUUGGAAAUGUCAAUAUAAGAUUACGACUUAGUAUUUACAGUAGUAAUUUUAUACCCAGCUGAUGCCACUGUUAUAGCCUAUAAUAACAGCGAACAUUGGAGACAGCAUGAUUGUGACUUUAUCUCUCCAGAUGAUGGCAGAAUCCGAGCGGACCCGAGAAACAUAAUAUUUUCUGUCGUGUCAAAUAUGAAUUGAGGAUGAACAAUUCCGUAGACGGAUGAGGCGUGUCACACGAUUCAAAAUCAUUGAGAGAAAUUUCGGUCCUUCAAACAGAAGUGUGGUCACUACCCGCUGGUCAAGCCGUCAAGGUUAUAAAAGUUGUUCUUGUAAAAGAACAUGUGAUACUAUUAUACUAAUAUAAGUUUAAUAGCCAAUAUAGGUGUAAGUAUGUAACUGUGUAAGUAUAUAAAUAAUCCAAUGUUGCAUUUUGUGCCAUACAAAAUAUCAUGAAAGUAUAAGUGCAUGUAACGUGUACAAUUUAAUAAUACUUUGUUUUCUAUCAAAAAUAUUUUUGUGCAUAUUUUUUUAUUAUGUUUUCGAGUACCUACCUAGGUACAUUUAAUAAAAACCAUAAAUUUAAUAUAAUUAAAAUUAAUUUAGUUCUAUAUAGGUAUAUUGACCAUUAAAGAUUAAACGUGAUAUUCUCUGACAUUCCGACAUGGUCAUGAUUAGGGUUAGGGACUUCAUGCCCUUAAAAACCUUAAAAUAUGCAUGCAUUUAUGCCCUAAAGAAUCAAAAAAUAUGCUUUUAAAAUAU